UCAUUUUGUUUUGUCAUUGUGAAGCAGAAUUCACCAAGCGUUGGAUUGUUCACACACUAAUAGGGAACGUGAGCUGGGAUUAGACCGUCGUGAGACAGGUU
rnacentral:ncRNA from 1 species